CUAGUUAUAGGGAACAAGCGAGUACAAUGGGAACAGUUCGUGUUGUUCUGAAGGCCUCUGGAGCUUCUCUGAUAAACAGUGUAUCAGGAGGCUUAGAAAGACGAACACCGCAUGUUCUCUCUCAGUCAUAGAGCCCAGCUUCAAAGCUUUUGUGUGUUUAAUUCGGGGCACAAGAGCAAGCCAGUGUUGACCAUGACCAGCUGCUCUCCGGGAAUUCUUCAGCUUUAGACUGGUUGCCUUGCAGACUGAGCAACUGCUGGAUUUUCGGCCUCUCUGGUAGGAGACAGCUGUGGCUGAAUUACUUACAUCAUAUCAUGUAAGCCGAUCUAAUAAUGCGCCUUUGGUAUGUAUGUAUCCAUUCUAUCACUUCUGUUCUUUUAGUGAAUAGUGACUAAACAAACACUCAUUAACUGCUUCUUUGCCUGUCUCCCCAUCCCCACAUAAGCCUUUUUAUUCAAAACAGUUUUCAUAAAGAUUUUUUUUUUUUACUUUAUGUGUGUAAAUGUUUUGUCUGAAUGCGUGAAUGCGUAUAAAUGCACCAGUGUGAGCUUGGUGCUCAUGGAACACAAAAACACUGGAGCGUGGGGCUGGGGAUUUAGCUCAGUGGUAGAGCGCUUACCUAGGAAGCGCAAGGCCCUGGGUUCGGUCCCCAGCUCCGAAAAAAAAGAACCAAAAAAAAAAAAAAAAAAAAAAAAAACCAAAAUAAAAAGCAAAAAAAAACCAAAACACUGGAGCGGAACUGGAGUUACAGAGAGCUCUGAACCACUGCGUAGGUGCUGGAAACUGAACCCUGAUCCUCUGUGAGAGCUUUUCUUAACUGCUGAGCCGUCUCUCCAGUUCCCAGCCCCUUUAACUCCCAGAAUCCCCCACUUCUUUCAUCUCAUGUGUGCUCAACUAUCUCCUCCGGUGGACCCACAUCUGGUUCCUCCGAGUUCCGCCUGCCUCGGCAGCGUGUCUCACAACUGGCUCCUACCACGUGGGGCUCGCACACCCGGCUGACUCGUACUCCAGCUGACGACCCACUCAGACCCAUGGAAAUCCAGAUUAAACAAAGACUGUGAAUAACCCCUGGCGCCCAUUCCAAAGACCCAGGCCUUCCCACUCCCAAGACAGAGACAGUAUCUUCUUCCCACUUUUGUUUUCCGGCAGAGCUUUGUGGUCCAAAUACAGACAGUCCAACAGACCAUUAACAAAAACUCCGAUCACCUCCGCCCCCCCACCCCCCACUCCCCGGAAUUCCUGGCUGGCCUUCCUUUCCUGGAGUCUCAGGGUCGUUUUGAUUUGCAUUUCCUUGAUGACUAAGGACUUUGAACAUUUUUAAAGUGCUUCUUUUUUUUUUUUUUAAAGAUUUAUUUAUUUAAUGUUUAUGCGCAUUCUGUUGCUGACAAACCAGAAGAGGGCAUCGGAUUCAAUUACAGACGGUUGUGAGCCACCAUGUGGUUGCUGGGAAUUGAACUCAGGACCUCUGGAAGAGCAGACAGUGCUCCUAACCACUGAGCCAUCUCUCCAGCCCCUUUAAAGUGCUUCUUGGCCAUUCGAGAUUCCUCGGUUGUAAAUUCUCGGUUUUGCUCUGUACCCCAUUUUUACAUUGGAUUAUUUGGGGGUUUUUUUGGAGGUUAGCUUCUUGAGUUCUUCAUAUAUUUUGAAUAUUAGCUCUCUAUCAGAUGUGGGGUUAAUGGAAAGUCUUUUUUACUCUUCUGUAGGUUGCUGUUUUGUCCUAUUGACUGUGUCUUUUGCCUUACAGAAGCCUUUCAGUUUCAUGAGGUCCCAUUUAUCAACUAACUGUUGAUCUUAGACCUGAGCCAUUGCAGUUCUGUUUAGGAAAUUUCACGCUGUACCAAUGAGUUCGAUGCUUUUUCCUACGAUCUCUUCUAUUAGGUUUGAAGAGUUAAAUUUCAAAGAGUUAGUCACAAACAAAGUCCGAACAUGCCUGAGAGAAUUUGAGAUAGGGUUCACCGGCUGGAGCCACCCCCUCCCCUUCCUUCACUCCCUGAGGAUGGGUCACCCCCCUGCUGAGUGAGAUGAGUCACCCUACCCACAUUGCUGAGAUACUAGAUUGCACGUAUGCUUUGCUGAUGUAACUCCUCGCCAAAAGUAACUGUGCACCAUUUGAAUCAGCCAAUCAUGUGUAACCUCGAAAUCCCCUGGCUUUCCCUAUAUAAACCCCUGCCUUUAGAGGCUCGUGGUCGGCUCCUCUAUCUCCUGCGUGAGAUGCGUGUUGGCCCGAGACCUCGGUGUCGGCCCGAGAUCUCGUUAAUAAAGCUGCCUCUUGUUGUUACAUCAAGAUUGGCUUCUCGUGUUUCCUGGGGCACGCCACCAUCCCGAGACUGGAGCGAGAGUCUCCCCAAUUUGGGGUUCUUUCAGGUUCAGUGUGUCUGGUUUUACACUGAAGUCCUUGAUCCACUUGGACUUGAACUUUGUGGUAGAAUAAAGCUUACUUGGUCAUAAUGAACAACCUGUUAUUUAUUAUUUAUUUUUAUGUGUAUGAGUGCUUUGCUCACAUGUAAGUAUCUGUAAUGUGUGCAUUUAGUACUUAAGCAGGCCAGAAGAAGGCAUCAUAUAUAUCUACUGGAAUCAGAUUAACAGAUGGUUGUGAGCCACUAUAUGGAUGCUAAGAACAGAACUUGGGUCCUCUGCAAGGAGUGUCAAGCAUGAUUGACCACUGAACCAUCUCUCCAGCCCCACAACAAACAUUUUUGAUGUACUUUUGAAUCUUGAAGUGCCAAUAUUCUAUUUUAUUGAGAAUUUUAAAAAAUAGAUAUUUAAUAGGAGAUAGGGCUGUUAUUUCCUUUGUGUCUUCUUCUUUUUUGGUGUCUUUAUCUGGUUUUGAUACGGCAAUACUUCUUUCUGUUCUUAAAAAAGAGCUUGGAGGGGUUGGGGAUUUAGCUCAGUGGUAGAGCGCUUGCCUAGCAAGCGCAAGGCCCUGGGUUCGGUCCCCAGCUCCGAAAAAAAAAAAGCAAAAAAAAAAAAAAAAAAAGCUCAGAAGCCUCCAUUCCUUUUCUAUUUUAUGGAACAAUUUGAGUAGCAUUGGUCUUGGGUUUUCAAAAUUCUGUUAGAAUUCUGCAGUGAACCUAGUCCUGCCUGGACUUUUUUUUAUUAAUUAUUUUAUUUAUUAAGUCCUGGACUUUUUUUUUUUUUUAAGUUGGGAGAUGUUCUACUAUGGCUUCAAUUUCACCGUUGGUUAUGGAUCUAGUUAAAUGAUUUAUUUGUUCUUGGUUUAACUUCAGUGGGUUAUUUUCUACAGAGAAGUUUCCUAAUUUGUUGGAGUAUAUUUUUAAAGCUUGUCAUCAUGGUUGCGAGUUUCAUUGGCAUCUGUUGUAAUGUCUCCCUUUUUAAUCUCUUGGUUUAUUUUACUUAUUUUUUAGCUUUUAGUUUUUACUUACGUGUAUAGAUUUUUGUAUGCAUGUAUGUCUGUGUACCACUUGCCUGCCUGGUGCUCCUAGAAGCCAGAAGAGGUAUCUGAUCCUCUGGGACUUGAGUUAUAGUCAGUAGUGAGCUGCUCUGUGGGUACUAGGACUUGAACCUGGGUUUUCUACAAGAGCAGCCACCAGUCCUCUUCACUGCUAAGCCAUUUCUCCAGCCCUCAUCUUUUAAUUCUUAUUAAUUUGAUUUUUCUCUCUCCCCCUUUAGGCUAAUUUGACCAAGCAUUUGUUAAUCUUGUUUCUCUUUCCAAAAAACCAACUCUGUGUGUGUGUGUGUGUGUGUGUGCGCGCGCGCACGCACGUGCAUGUGUGCUCGUGUUUUUUUGAGACAGAGUUUCUCUGUGUAGCCCUAGCUGUCCUGGAAUUUGCUCUGUUGACCAGGCUGGCCUCAAACUCACAGAGAUCCACCUGCCUCUGCCUCCCAAGUGCUGGGAAUAAAGGUGUAUGUUACCACUAACUCUUUAUCUCAUUAUUUGUGUUGUUUUUGGCUUUUCUUUUUUCUUUCAUUCUUUUAAAAAUAUUUAUUUUUAAUUAGCUCUGUGUGUGUGCGCUCGCGCACGCACGUGCACAUGGGGACAUGAAUGAAAAUGUCAUGGAAGCUGGAAGAGGAUAUUGGACUUCCUAGAGCAGCAGUUGUAGAGCUGGAGUUCUAGGCAGUUGCCUGAUGUGGGUGCUGUGAAUGGAACUUGAGUCCUCUGUAAGAAUAAUACAUACUCAUAACCACUGAACUGUGUUUUACUCUUCUCUAGUUGGUUACUUUCUACCCUGACUUUUAGAAUGGAAAUGCUGUCAGUUUUAUAAGUUCCCACUGGCUGUGGAAAUGGUUUAUGCGAUUGCUCAUCUUUCCUGGGUGGGGGGGGGGAUCCCCAUACCUAGAGGACACAUCGUAAGUCUCUUUCCAGGACUUUGUCAGUAGAAAUAACUAUCUCAACCAGGCAGAAACUCUUGACAAUAUAUGAGCUGGAAGUGAGGGGCUGGGCGGGCAAUAGAAAGGCACUUCCUUUCCCUCCACUUGAUGGCCUCGGCGACAUCAGCAUUAUGAGAGCAACAGCCUUUAUCUCCCUCCUGGGUCAGCCACUUACCACCAUAUUUAUUGGAUGCCUUUCUCAUCACACUGUAACACCGACAGCUCGUAGGAUUUGUGUCCUGAGUCUAACUCCUGCUGGCUCUGCCUGCUAUGUAGUAGUAGAUAGUUUUUAGAUUAGACUCACUUGAGCUUUUAGUAAUGAUCAGGCUCUGAUUGUAGAGGAGGGAAGCAAAAUAGCCACAAUUGCAGUGUUGGGCUACAUUUCAAUGUCUGCCCUGAUUUUAAUUGUUUCUUCCUUUCUAAUGUUUCUGGCUUUGUUUUGUUUUCAUAGAGUCUUUCACAUUCUUGUUUAUUUAUUUAUUUAUUUGCUUAAUUUAUUUAUUUUUGGUAUUUUGACAUAAGGCUCCUCUGUGUAUUGCUGGGUGACCUGGAACUCCAUCUGUAGAUCAUGCUGGCCUCAAACUCAGAGAUCCACGAGCCUCUGCCUCCCCAGUGCUGGGAUUAAAGGCAUGUGACAAGCACUGCCCAGCUAGGUUUUGUAAAGUCUUAAGGCUUAAGUCUUAAUUAAGUCCUAAGUCUUAGUUUAUAUAUUUGAGAGCUCUCAAACUUUCUGAGAUAGGCUCUUAGUACCUGUUGUGUGACGCUCUCCCUGGGGGAGAUAUAAACAACAGCUACUCACCCAAUGGGAGCCCACAACAGACCAAAGUAUGGGUACCAUCAAAAUCCAACUGAGUGAGCCAAUGAAUUAUACUGGAGUUAUUUACAGGAGCAGAAACGACUCAAAAACAUCACCAAAGUCCACCUCAGACUGGGUGAUGGGCCAUAAAAGCUGGAGGCAAGAAGGAGGAGGAUCCUGUUUCCUAAGACAGUGUGCUAGCCUGUCUCACUUCUAUUGGCGAAUCGAGAUUUCUAAUACUCAAGAGUUGCUAUUUAAAGUGUAUGCUGAUUCCUGCUAUUUUGCUGAUCUUGUGGGGGCUUUCUUAGACCACUUUUGGUGAACAGUUUGCUAUGGUUUUUCUCCUGUGGGUGACAACUUUAUCCUCCUCAUCUAAGGGAUCCCUUCCAGUAUCCCUUGCAGAGCUGGUGACGUGUUCAUAAGUUCCUUAGGCUGUUUUCAUUAUGGAAAAUGUGAUUUUUUCCCCUUCUUCUUCUCUUCCUUCUUCAUUUAGAAACCAUUUGUAAACAGCUGACAUACACUCUUGAGCUGUUUCUCGAGCUGAAGGGCAGACAGUGCCAGGCACAGGGACUGGAGCGUGAAGGGCGACUGCCACAAGCCUGUGCUCUUGCUCCAGCUUCCUCACACCACAUCUCCUUCCAAGAUCCCUUUUGCUGCUUCUGAACCAGUCCUCUUCUGGCUUUCCCUACGAUGUUGGACUCAGUGUGGAUACUCGGGCUGAGCAGUGUUGCCACUGCCCAGGUUUAAGGGACAGUCAUGGUCUUGAUGCUUUUUUCUUAUCUAUUGGUUCUCUGUAAAGUCUGCAUUGGAGCUGAAACAAGGAGGUUCACCUUGAAAGGCAUUCUCCACUGGGGAGUCUGCUCACCAGUUCCUAGGGCGACUGACCACCCUCGAGAAGUUAUCCUGUAGCCAGAAUUGAAGGUGUCCCAUCUGCCUCGAGGUUCUUACGAGCCACCUAUUCCUCUGCCAUUGAGUCUACCUUUCAAAGCCACCUUCAUUUUGUUUCCUGACUUCUGUAACGUCCACUUGAAAUGACAGUUCCCCAAGAGUGCACUGUCCUUUGUUAAAGCCUCCUUCAGGGAAAUCUACUCCUUCAAAUUUGACACACAGAAUCCUGCAUCUUUGUGACUAGCUGCACACUCCAUAGGCUGAGAUCCUUAAAGAUAGCAUCUGUGUUGUCCUGAAUUAUGUUAAAAGGGAGAUUUCUUUUGUCUACUGUGUAGGGUGGCUUUGGGACCCAUGGCCACGAGCACAGUCAUCUCAUGCCCUCUGCCACCACUGAAGCUGCUGUAGGCUGGACUGUUGGGUUCUGGUAGUUAAUCCAAGUCUGUCAUUUGCUGUCUCAGCUCAAUUUUAAUAGAUAGCUUCAUUGAGUACAAUGUUGGGAGCUGUUUGUUGCUUCUCUGAAGCAGAGGGGAAAAAAAGAAAAAGUCUGCCUGCCAAGCAGAGUCAAGACAGGUCAAGGUCUGUUGGCAGAUUUCCUAGCCUGCUGAGGCAUGGAGUGAUUAGAGGAGGUGCACUUGAGGCUCAAGGCCAGGGGCUGAAGAUUCUAUUGACCUUGGUGGCAGGAACAGGGAGAUUUUUGUGUGAGAACAAAUGUCUUGUGUAUAUUUCAGCAUUUGUUUUCGUUAGCUUGGGGCUUUGCUUCCCACGGUCCUGUAGUAUAGGAAGGCCAUGAGAAAUACACUUGCUGCUGGCCUGGUCUAGACCUUCAGCCCUCCCAUUAUCUGUCUCUUGUGUCUUUUUUCUAUCUUUCCUAUAAUCAUCCUCACUUCCCCCUCAGGGGACUGUUUGAUUCCGUACUGAUCAGACCAGACCAGACCAGUACAAUAGUUAGGAUUGGCAGCUAUGAUCUUUUAGAACUUUAGAUAUAUCUUUGAAGGUUCUUUCUAUCUAUGGUGGAUAGUUUUUGCCAACUUGACACAAGCUAGAGUCAUCUGGGGGGAGGGAAACUCAACUGGGGAAGUGCCUCCGUUAGACCAGUCUACCGGAAGGUCCCUGGGACAUUUUCCUGAUUGCUGAGUUGAUGUGGGAGAGCCAAUCCUACAGGGGGAGGCAGUGUCAUUGCUGGUUAGGUGGUCCUUUGUGUAAAAGGAAGGUCGCUGAGCAAGCCAUGGAAAGCAAGUCAGGAAGGAGUGCUCUUCCGUAGUCUGCUUUGGUUCCGUGUCACUCAUCUAGAGGUGGUGGGACCUGGGAGAAUGGAGCUGAUAUGUGAGGUGGACUAAAGUCCUGUGCAACAACCAGCUUUAUUCUGGGCAUCAGACAGUUUAUAUUCUGUUAAGGAGAAUCACACGAGUAACCUGUGACAAGGACAAGGACAAGCUUCUUGAGGCAAAAUCAUGUUUUCCAUAGAGGCACAUAAACAAAUAACAAUAGCCAGCUGUAAUGAAUAAUCUGAAGUAAACUCACUCUUACCUUCUUAGCUUAGCACAAAAACGCAUUCCAAGAACAGUUCUGUGUUUUGUUUUUUUUUUUUUUUUUUUUUUUUUUUUUUUUUUUUUCGGAGCUGGGGACCGAACCCAGGGCCUUGCGCUUCCUAGGUAAGCGCUCUACCACUGAGCUAAAUCCCCAGCCCCCAGUUCUGUGUUUUGAAGAAACUUAGGUCCUAAGAUUCUUCUCUUGUUUUCUUCGCAAGCGUCCAGCAAUCUCCUCAGAUGACCUCAUUCUUGAACCAGGUUUCUACAGUUCCCAACUUUAGAUUCCCGCCUUGAGUUUCUACUUCAUUUCCAGUCAGAAAUGGACUAUGGUGGUUUGAAUGAGAAUCCCCCCCCUCCCCCACAGACUCAUAAACGUAAGCAUUCAAAUGAAUGCUUAGUUCAGUUUGUGGAACUAUUUGGGAAGGAUUGGAGAGAGGGGAAGGGGAGGGGGAGAUAGUGUAGGAAGCGAAGAUGGAGGGGCCGAGGCAUCUGAGCCCUUUAAAACUGAAGCAUCAGAUACUGGAUAUAACUACAAAAUUUGAUGUUUGCACUGAAGGGCUUGCUUGGUCUUGGUUUGUCCAAUCUUUCUUCAUCAUGUCCUCAUUGAUCUACUUUAGUGUGGGAUGAAUAUAAAUAUAUAUUUAAAUGGAGGGUCACAGUUAAGAUAGUUCCUUGAGUCUCAGAAGAGGCCUUGGACUUUUGAACAGUAUUGAGACUGUGAAGACCUAUGGGGAGUUUUGCAGCUACACUAAACAUGUCUUGUAUCAUGGCAUGGCCAGGAGCCUAGAGAAGCCAGGGGAUGGAAUGUGGUAGUUUGAAUGAGAAAUGUCUCCCGUAGGCUCGUGCAUCUGAACACUGGGUCCCCAGUUAGUGGCACUGUCUUGGGAGGUUCUGGUACCUUUAGGAGAUGCAGUCUCGUUGGAUGAAUUAGGUCACUGGGGCUGGGCUUUCAGGGUUUAUAGUCUUGCCUUACUUCCUGUUCUCUCUCUUUGUUUCCUAUGUGAGGAUGAAAACUGUGCUCAGCCAGCUUUGUCCUCCUGUCUAUUGCUAUAGCUUCUCUGACAACCUCUAUUUCUCUGGAAUCAGACGCCUAACAAACCUUGUCUUCCCUAAAUUGCUUUUGACAAGGAUAUUCCAUCACAACAACAGGAAAGUCGCCGACAGACCUUUUGACUCCUUUCUAUGUAAAAAGUGGUGACUCUUUAAGAGGAUAUGCCUACCCCAUUUUCUUUAAACCUGACCUUGAAUAAAAUGUCUCUGUAACAAAGGAGUCAAUGCAGGUAACCUGGGGCCAAUGUUCUUUUCCCCAGGGAAGGGUUGGUUAACUGUCUCAUCGUCAAAUCCAGACAUCUGCUGUUUGUCCCAGGGUUUAUGACAAAUUGCAAACCAGCCUCAGAUAUAGGGAGUGUAAAGUUAUUGUGGGGAGGGACUGAAAGGAAGUCAGUGAGUCAAAUUGUCCUUCUGGAAAGAGCUUUGUUGAUAUGGUCGUAUCUGACAGGUAGACAUAGCAUGGUAGGGGUACAAUUGUGCUCUAUAAGAUGACAUUUUAAAUAUAGAUCUUAAGCACAAGGGCUAAGAAGAGGAAGAAGAUGCCCAGGAAGAAAAUAAGACGCCUGAGAGCAGAGGUGGGCUUCCCUGAGAGAGAAUGGUCCUGCGGCCCUGCUACAGCGGAAAGAAGAUAAACUUCACACUGAACGCCCUACAAGGGUGAUGAACUGAUUAGAGCUUCAGUGACUGUGGGAUGGUACAGGUCUACAGCAUAAUGGUACUGUAUCUUGGGCUAUCUUUAGCACCAUUAAUAGCCAUUUCUUGUCUACCUCUGUGUCUGGCCUAGUAGCCUUGUGAUUAUCUGGUGAAGAACUUUGGAAUGCAUUGAUAGAUCCCUAGCUAAGAAUGUCACCAGAUAACAUCUGAGGCCUAUAACAGAGGUUUCCCCAGUUGGCUGCACACUACCUACCCACUGUACUCAUAUAGAAAAAGAUUUAUUUAUUCUAUUUAUGUGAGUGCACUGUAGCUGCCUUCAGACCCACCAGAGGAGGGAUCGGAUCUCAUUACAAGUGGCUGUGAGCCACUAUGUUGCUGGGAAUUGAACUCAGGACCUCUGGAAGAGCAGUCAGUGCUCUUAACCACUGAACCAUCUCUUCAGCACACCCAUCAAUACAUUUAAAGAGUUUUAUGUUUUUUCACUAUUAAAAACCCCAUGAAACAGCUAUCCCUUGGGAACAUGGAAUUCAGGGUAACCAAAAUCUGCGACCCUGGGCAUGGUCACUCAUCUUUGGUCACAGAAUGAAUUACAUUUUUUCCCUUUUGAGAGAAUGGUGCUUCUUGCAUAGACAGGAUUCUUUUGGGUUGAAACUAUUUUUUUCAAAACGUCACUAAGGAACCUAAAUGAGGGCACAGGGCAGUUCUUGGUGGAAUUACAAUGGGUAAACUAAAACUAUACCAGGAAGGUAGGACAUAUUUGCUUAAAGACCAAGUUAAUGUCUCAAAGAGUCUUAGGAAGUGUCUGGGAAAGGACUGGGAUGCUCCCUCAGGUCUUAAGCCUUUGCAUUAUUUUAACAAAAACCUGAGAAGCAGUAUUCUGGGUCCAGUCUUUACAGUGCGCGUCAAUUGCUGGAAUUCUUGUUCUUCAGCUGGAGAGAUGCUUCAACCAGCUUUGGGGAAGGGGCUUCUCCCCCUUUCCGUGCUCCCAUCAUCUCCCUUCUCUUUCUACGCUGCCUCAAAAGCCUCCGCCCGCUCCUUCUAACCGUGCUCACUCAGGCUUCUCUUUUGUGCCUGCCCAGGGAUGGCGAGGCCUUGGCUCAUUCUUCAGUCUCCCCGCAGCCCUUCUUUCUCCGUGCUGUAGAGGGAACGAGGUUACAUGGUGCUCUGGCUAUGUGCAUCCAAGAAAGGUCCACAGAUCAUUAAAGCCCAAGAUUUUCUCUUAUUCAGCCAGAGACGGGUAUUCAUUCCACUUGAAUAGAGGCAUGAAGCUCUUUCUCAGACCAGAGCUGGCUAUUUUACAGAAAACAAAGGAGUUAUACAUUAGCAUGGGGUAACUGGCUUUUCUGGGAGGCUACCUAACAAUGACUAGAGACAAUGCUGUAAUUAUAAGCCACACUGUUAAAAGAUGCCUAAGCUCACACAGUCUCUGAACAAAAUUUCACUCUGCCUUGGGAAAGAGAUUUAGACUGGCUUGUGGGUCUAAUGAGGGGCCCGCUUUGUUCUUUCUCUCCCAGCGCUGUGGAAGUGCUUCCGCUUUACCCAGACUCUGGCCUUUGCCAAUGCUGUUCCCACAGUCCGGGCGCUUCCCUCCUUUCUUUCUGCUUAUCUUCUCUGGCUUUGUCUUCCCCUCAUUCCUCCUGGCUGAACUCCAGUUUCUUUUCAUCCUCAGGCUUUCCUGGGAUCUACUGACUGCGAACACUCACUUUGGCACCCCACCACGCUGUUCACGCUGUACGCCACUUGCGUGUGUGUGUGUGUGUGUGUGUGUGUGUGUGUGAUCUUGCCUUUGUAGAAAUGAGCAGCUUGAGCUUUCAGAUCAUUCUUGUGUUCUGCCUCCUAACAUAGGCCACAGCAACAUGGUCUGCUUAAACUAAUGAGCUAUUGAAUGAGUGGAUGAAAAAACAGCUCUCACCUCAACCCUGGAUAAGAAACACUUCAUUAUGGAGCCAAAUAUGUUCUGGGAGCAUAGGUUUAAAUCAUUGGAAAUUCUAUAUUUCAACACAGAAGAACUUUCAUGAAUUUUUUUUUCAGGAACUGAACAACAACAAAAGUUAUGAAUCGCUGGGUAGUGAUGGCACAUGCCUUUAAUCCCAGCACUAAAGAGAGGGGCAGGUGAAUAUCUGUGAGUUUAAGGCCAGCCUGGUCUACAGAACAAGUUCCAGGACACACAGAGAAACCCUGUCUUAAAAAACAAAAACAAAACAAAAUUACAAAUCAAGAUACGUUUCAAACACAUUGGUGGGUAUGUCAGCCAUUCUCGCAUGACUGGUUGCCUCUCUUUAAUGCAGCUCCUAUGUCCCAUCCUUCUCCCUCCGAGUCAUGGCAAUUCUCUGUGUCCUCUUGCCUGGUUCCUAGCCUGUACAAAUCUGAAGGUCCUGCCCUAUUUCCCUUUGCCCAGCCACAGCCACUGGCAUCUUUACUGAUCAAUCAAAAACCAACUGGGGACAAGGACCAUCAUUCAGCAUUUGGACACGUGGAUUCUCAAUUAAGUCAAAGCAUUAGAACCCAUCCCCAACAGCACUGUUAUUUGCCUUCGACACUGUUUGAGAGUCUAUCCGAACCCUUUUUGGUGGAAUUUGAUUGUUAGCAAGUUCCAAAAGUUUAUUUAAAAUCUGUUAGUUACAGGAUGUUAGGUUUGUCAGCUAGUUGAGAUACAGAGGUAAACCACAAAGAAUGGUGGGCUAAAAAGAUAGCCCAAAAUAUAUUGUAAUUAGGCUCUGGACCUGCAACAAUACCAUCUCUCCAGUCACUGAAGUUCUAACCAAUCAGCCUUUGCAUGUACAGUAGGUUCUGAGUAUGCAAUGACUCAUUAUGAUGUAAAGUGCCUGAGGGAAUGCGUAGGUUAUGUAGAGUAGCCUGAGUCAGUAGAGGAGUUGGUGGGCAAUGGAGGCACUUCUAAGUCAGAAUAAGAAUGGAUACAACAUCACAUAUAGCACAUGUGGGUUAUGCUUAGGAAGCUAUUCCCAUUUAUUAUAAUAAAUCUAGGUUUAUGUCUAUAUUUUAAAAGUAUGUCUAUGGCUUGGGUGAGUUUCUUGUGAGCAGUUUCCUGGGGAUGCCUCUGUAGGUCAAUGCAAUCGUCUGGGUUCAUGAUGAUUUCUGUGUAUGUUAUCUCUCCCAUGCCGAUAAAGGCAGUGUUGGUCUAAGCUUUGGAUGGUGUGUGUGUGUGUGUGUGUGUGUGUGUGUGUGUGUGUGAGAGAGAGAGAGAGAGAGAGAGAGAGAGAGACUCAAUAGCAACAUGGCUUGUAUUUACUAAGGAAAAGACCCAUGGGGGGAUCUUCAAAGAAGAACCACAGAACCCAUCCAUCCAUUGACUGCUUUGCGGGCUAUGGUAGCUUUGGGGUAGGAAAGAGGAAGGGAGGGGGGCCAAGUUUCCUUUCCUGAACCAUGGUUGGCUGUCGCUGGGUGUAGCUGGGGAAUGAAGUGGUGAGUUAACACUUUGUAAGUAAGGGGCCAUGAUUCACUGACUCAAAGAGCAUGCAAACUCUAAGAGUGUUUCCUUGUGCAGAAGCCCAUAACGCUGGGGUCCCCCCUUAUACAGAUCAGAGAGACACCCAAGUGAUCUCAGAGGCUUGAUUUAAAGCGCUUUGGAAUUCUGGGGUAGAUCAACUUUUUCUUACCCUAUCUCUAAGGACAUUCCAUUACCCCAGUGUUGGGGUUGCCUAGAAACUACUGACCCAUUGUCCUUGCUUCAGGUCAGAUGGUGGGGCAGUUUCUGGCCAGCUACCUGAAGCCUGGGUUUUUAGAUCUAAUCUCCUGAAUUUGAAGCCGGUCAUGGAGUAGCCUGUCUCAUCAGCUUGUCAAGUGACUUAUAAACAUCUUACACGUCAGCCAUUUUCUGGAGUCACUGGGAGUCACAGAGUUCAGAGAAGCACUGCUCCUGCCUCCAGAUCUCAGGAAAAGAGAAAGGAAUGGCCUUUAGUUGGAAUUUCCUCACUCCUGUUUAGUCUCACGGCCAUGUUCAGCCUGGACUCUUCCCUCCCUCUGCGUUCUCCCUUGUAUCUGCAAUAAAAAUGUCUCCAUACUCCCUC